rnacentral:rRNA from 1 species
GCCUAACACAUGCAAGUCGAACGGUAACAGGAAACAGCUUGCUGUUUCGCUGACGAGUGGCGGACGGGUGAGUAAUGUCUGGGAAACUGCCUGAUGGAGGGGGAUAACUACUGGAAACGGUAGCUAAUACCGCAUAAUGUCGCAAGACCAAAGUGGGGGACCUUCGGGCCUCAUGCCAUCAGAUGUGCCCAGAUGGGAUUAGCUAGUAGGUGGGGUAAUGGCUCACCUAGGCGACGAUCCCUAGCUGGUCUGAGAGGAUGACCAGCCACACUGGAACUGAGACACGGUCCAGACUCCUACGGGAGGCAGCAGUGGGGAAUAUUGCACAAUGGGCGCAAGCCUGAUGCAGCCAUGCCGCGUGUGUGAAGAAGGCCUUCGGGUUGUAAAGCACUUUCAGCGGGGAGGAAGGCGGUGAGGUUAAUAACCUCAUCGAUUGACGUUACCCGCAGAAGAAGCACCGGCUAACUCCGUGCCAGCAGCCGCGGUAAUACGGAGGGUGCAAGCGUUAAUCGGAAUUACUGGGCGUAAAGCGCACGCAGGCGGUCUGUCAAGUCGGAUGUGAAAUCCCCGGGCUCAACCUGGGAACUGCAUUCGAAACUGGCAGGCUAGAGUCUUGUAGAGGGGGGUAGAAUUCCAGGUGUAGCGGUGAAAUGCGUAGAGAUCUGGAGGAAUACCGGUGGCGAAGGCGGCCCCCUGGACAAAGACUGACGCUCAGGUGCGAAAGCGUGGGGAGCAAACAGGAUUAGAUACCCUGGUAGUCCACGCCGUAAACGAUGUCGAUUUGGAGGUUGUGCCCUUGAGGCGUGGCUUCCGGAGCUAACGCGUUAAAUCGACCGCCUGGGGAGUACGGCCGCAAGGUUAAAACUCAAAUGAAUUGACGGGGGCCCGCACAAGCGGUGGAGCAUGUGGUUUAAUUCGAUGCAACGCGAAGAACCUUACCUGGUCUUGACAUCCACAGAACUUAGCAGAGAUGCUUUGGUGCCUUCGGGAACUGUGAGACAGGUGCUGCAUGGCUGUCGUCAGCUCGUGUUGUGAAAUGUUGGGUUAAGUCCCGCAACGAGCGCAACCCUUAUCCUUUGUUGCCAGCGGUCCGGCCGGGAACUCAAAGGAGACUGCCAGUGAUAAACUGGAGGAAGGUGGGGAUGACGUCAAGUCAUCAUGGCCCUUACGACCAGGGCUACACACGUGCUACAAUGGCAUAUACAAAGAGAAGCGACCUCGCGAGAGCAAGCGGACCUCAUAAAGUAUGUCGUAGUCCGGAUUGGAGUCUGCAACUCGACUCCAUGAAGUCGGAAUCGCUAGUAAUCGUAGAUCAGAAUGCUACGGUGAAUACGUUCCCGGGCCUUGUACACACCGCCCGUCACACCAUGGGAGUGGGUUGCAAAAGAAGUAGGUAGCUUAACCUUCGGGAGGGCGCUUACCACUUUGUGAUUCAUGACUGGGGUGAAGUCG